rnacentral:rRNA from 1 species
GACGAACGCUGGCGGCGUGCUUAACACAUGCAAGUCGAGCGAUGAAGCACCUUCGGGUGUGGAUUAGCGGCGAACGGGUGAGGAACACGUGAGGAAUCUGCCUUUCACUUCGGGAUAACUCCGGGAAACCGGGGCUAAUACCGGAUAUUUUCAACUGGCGGCAUCGCCGGUUGAAGAAAGUUUUUCGGUGAAAGAUGACCUCGCGGCCUAUCAGCUUGUUGGUGAGGUAAUGGCUCACCAAGGCGACGACGGGUAGCCGGCCUGAGAGGGCGACCGGCCACACUGGGACUGAGGCACGGCCCAGACUCCUACGGGAGGCAGCAGUGGGGAAUAUUGGGCAAUGGAGGAAACUCUGACCCAGCGACGCCGCGUGAGUGAUGAAGGCCUUCGGGUUGUAAACCUCUUUCAGCAGGGAAUAAGCGAAAGUGAAGGUACCUGCAGAAGAAGCACCGGCUAACUAUGUGCCAGCAGCCGCCGUAA